UUUUUAACUCAUUGGUGACCUAUAUAUUUUUUAAUAUUAUUUUCAAAUAAGCUGUACUUAAACUAAACAGUUGUAAAAUUUUGGCAAUUUCUGUAAUUGUUAUAUCGAUAUUAACUUUAUUUCUCCUAUUAUUCAACAGAAAAAAAGUACCUUACCAAAAUGCAUGUUUCUUUCGAAGGCAGAUUGUGAGCUUAAAUGAACGUUGACCCCAUUUUUUAUUUUAUUUUUCUAUUAAGUAUAUGAUAAAGUUCAUUUAUAGAAAAAAAUUAUGAAAUCUUAUAUUUAAAAAAAAAAUCAAUUUCUGAACUCCCUUACAAUUGUAAGUGGAUAUAUAUGUUUGCCAAAAAAAUAAUUGAUAUUAAAAAAAUCACUUUCAGUCAGGGGUUAGACUUUUACAAGUUAUGUUUAUUUCAUUGAAGAUUCAAGUAAUAUUUACCCAUAUGUACUUAGAAAGGUACAUUCAAUGAAAUUUGUAUGAUUUUAAUUUUCAUUUUUUGAAUUAUCUCCCCUUAUUUUUCUCCAAAAAAUUCUUAUACAUUUAUCCCCUGAAAUUCGCUUGUUGGCUUAAAUACUAAGAAAGAACAAAGAAAUCUAUUGACACUGAUGUUAAAUAACGGUGCAUGUAUUCAAAAAUUGCUCUCUUGAGGCUUGUAAAUGAGGAGUCUUUUGCAUUGUCCAAGAAAUUAUACAUUAAUGAAUAGUAAAGAAAACUUAUAAUGGAGGACGAAUAAAUACUCAAUCGUGCAAUGUACUGUAGUUCAGAGAAUUCAACAUGUUUAAGAAAAGAAGAAAAUAUGAUUUUUUUUACUUAUAAAUAAAAUAUGUAUGUCUAAGGGAUAUAACUCUAUCUUCAAAAAUAAAUAACAUGUACAAGAUGUAUAAACAUGAUAAAAAAUUGGAAAAAAAAAUAUAAAACUGUUUUUUUUUAACUUUUUAAUUAUAUGAUGUUCUAAUGAAUUAAAAUUUAUCCCAGUUGAUAAAAUACUGUAAAUUUUUAAAUUCUUGUGAGACUUUUUUCAUGCAAAAAAUGCAAAUGGGUAAGCAUGGUAAGCAUGGAAAGUAUUGCAAUAGAAAGAGCUCCCUUUUUAAUAUUUGAUACAUGUAUCUUUUUGUUUAUUACCUUAAAUCACAAAUAGACUGUUGUUGGUCAUAUUGUCAAUGUAAUUAAGAUUGCUCUAUCUUGGUAUCUUAUAUCUUAUAACUGUUUUAAAUUUAGUAUACAUUUUACCCUGUUUAUUUACAUAUGAUAAAUUAGCAGGGGUGUAUCCAGCCAUUUCUAAAAGGGGUUCCUAAUCCAGGAUAAAAGUUCCAACCAUAUGUCACCAUUAAAAUGCACUGCUCGUCCAAAAAAAAUGGGAGGGGGGUUCUGGGGGUUUCCUGUUGGAUCUGCCACUAAUCAGUGAAUAUAUGAUAUAUCUUUAUUGUUGUGUUUUUUAUGUCUUUCAAAAAAAAUUGCCCUUUUAAUUCAUGAUAAUAAUUACCUGUUAUUUUAUGUCAUUUUAGCAUCACAAUGUUUGUUAUGUAUGGUUGGAUAUCAGGACUAUGCAGGAUGCUAUUAUUCAAUCAGUUGUUAGAUUUUCUUCCUUCCACUUGUCAAACCUUUACAUUUUAAGUGUCUGUUUGUGUUUCAAUCAAUUGUAAUAAUUUAGAUAUUUCUUAAUAUUACUUGUAUAUAUUGCUUAUUUGAUCCUAAUGAUAUCGCAAAAAA
rnacentral:lncRNA from 1 species